rnacentral:rRNA from 1 species
UACGUAGGUGGCAAGCGUUGUCCGGAUUUACUGGGCGUAAAGCGCGCGCAGGCGGUCCCGUAAGUCGGACGUGAAAGCCCAGGGCUCAACCUUGGAAGUGCGUCUGAUACUGCGAGACUGGAGUACUGGAGAGGAGAGCGGAAUUCCCGGUGUAGAGGUGAAAUUCGUAGAUAUCAAGCGGAACACCGGUGGCGAAGGCGGCCUUCUGGACAGUGACUGACGCUGAGACGCGAAAGCGUGGGGAGCAAACAGG